rnacentral:rRNA from 1 species
UGCGUGAAGUCGGAAUCGCUAGUAAUCGCGGAUCAGCAUGCCGCGGUGAAUACGUUCCCGGGCCUUGUACACACCGCCCGUCACACCAUGAGAGUCGGGAACACCCGAAGUCCGUAGCCUAACAGCAAUGAGGGCGCGGCCGAAGGUGGGUUCGAUAAUUGGGGUGAAGUCGUAACAAGGUAAC